rnacentral:rRNA from 1 species
GAUGAACGCUAGCGGCAGGCUUAACACAUGCAAGUCGAGGGGCAGCAUAAACAUUGCUUGCAAUGUUUGAUGGCGACCGGCGCACGGGUGCGUAACGCGUAUGUAACCUACCUCAAACAGGGGCAUAACACCGAGAAAUUGGUACUAAUUCCCCAUAAUACUUUGAAAGGCAUCUUUUGAAGUUGAAAGUUCCGGCGGUUUGAGAUGGACAUGCGUUGUAUUAGCUGGUUGGUGAGGUAACGGCUCACCAAGGCGACGAUACAUAGGGGGACUGAGAGGUUAACCCCCCACAUUGGUACUGAGACACGGACCAAACUCCUACGGGAGCAGCAGUGAGGAAUAUUGGUCAAUGGACGCAAGUCUGAACCAGCCAUGCCGCGUGCAGGAAGACGGCUC